UUGAUUAACUGUUCACAUAUACAUUUUAUGUACCUGCCUCCACCCAAACAGCAUAACACUGUCACAGCAGAGACCAGACAUCACCCUUUACUAGUCCCUGCCCUCAGGCUGCAUAUUCUGUCACAUGCUAGCCUGGCUGUCAGACAAAAUAACAGGAGAAACUUCAGACCAGCAUGUCACAUGAUUCAGAGCAGCAGCAAACAUUUCUAGUAGUGUUUGCUACUGAUCUGAAUCAUGUGACAUGCCGGUCUGAAGUUCCUCCUGUUAUUUUGUUAUAUUCAUUGAUUCAUGACAUCAGCAAAUGCAAAAUCAUUUUGAAAACUGGUGCUUAGGGGAAAAUUUACCUACCUUCCAUUCCCCAGUCUUCCUAUCUCCACUGGGCUAAUGGGCUUGGACCUCAGUUCCCUGCACACCCAGCCUAGAGGGGAAUAAACGUGCUGCCUGCUGCUGCUUCUGCUUGCUUCCCUCCCGAGUCAGCUGCCCUGCCCCAUAGAAAAGUUUAGGCAGCUGAGUGAUCACACUUUGUUAUUGGGCGGGACUCAGGAGGGAAGCAGCAGCACUGAGCAGAAAAUCUGUAUGGGAAGUGACUGUGUGUGUCGCUCCUGACCCGCUGCUGUCAGUCCCACCCACUAACCCGGAGUGACCCCACAGAGAUAGUCAGAUCUCAUAGUGUUUCAUUGACCAAGGGCCGGAUUGGGCAGCCGGGAUACCGGGAAAAAACCCGGUGGGCCGCCGAUCGUCAGCUCAGCUGGCUGCUGCAGUAGAGAAAGCAGCAAUUUGCAAUCACUCGUCUCUGGCAUAAAAAACAUGGAAAUACUACAAUUAUAGCCCUGGAUAUAAAUGAAUGUGUGGCGGCAGCACGAAUAUAGUGUACUUGACUUUAACCUACACAGUCGCAACGAGGAGGAAGGAGGAGCUGGCUGAUGUAAUAUUUUUUGGGGAGGGGGCGGCCGCGGUUAACAUUUGAGCAUCGUGCACCGGCUGGAGUAGGAUUCCCCUAGACAUUGCCAGGCUACACGUGUUCCGGAUCUGGCAGAGGAUUAACUGACUCAGACUAACCCCAGCGAUGUGCGCAAAGAUAAUCCAGCCUGAGUGACUCACAGCCACAUUUAAUCUCACUCUCCCUGAGUCCCUAGAGUAUCUGGCAUUACAAGCCAGCCAUCUAAAAAGGUUAUGUAAUGCAUUUAUCUUUACGCUGUAGCCUAGUGUCUAUUUUGGGUAUUUUCCAGCUGCCACAUGGCACAAUAAAUAAUGAUAUACAUGGAACCAUAGAUAUCUGUGCUUCUUUGUGAGAUUCUUCCUAGGUGAUAGUGAAUUUGAAACAGCCUGUUCUUUUUUAAUGCCUUGGUUACCAGAGUAGGCUGCAAAGCAUUGCAGAGCAACCUAAACCUAUAGACUGUGAGCUCUCCGGAGCAGGGCCCUCUUCCUCCUGUGCUAGAUUUGUUUAGGUUUGUUAUGUUUUGUAUUUUAUCACAAAUCUUUGUCAUUGUAUACCCCUAUCAUUGUACCCAGCGCUAUGGAAUUUGGCGGCGCUAUACAAAUAAAUGAUAAUAAUGGUU